rnacentral:rRNA from 1 species
CGUACACUCCUGCGGGAGGCAGCAGUGGGGAAUUUUGGACAAUGGGCGAAAGCCUGAUCCAGCCAUGCCGCGUGCAGGAUGAAGGCCUUCGGGUUGUAAACUGCUUUUGUACGGAACGAAACGGCCUUUUCUAAUAAAGAGGGCUAAUGACGGUACCGUAAGAAUAAGCACCGGCUAACUACGUGCCAGCAGCCGCGGUAAUACGUAGGGUGCAAGCGUUAAUCGGAAUUACUGGGCGUAAAGCGUGCGCAGGCGGUUAUGUAAGACAGUUGUGAAAUCCCCGGGCUCAACCUGGGAACUGCAUCUGUGACUGCAUAGCUAGAGUACGGUAGAGGGGGAUGGAAUUCCGCGUGUAGCAGUGAAAUGCGUAGAUAUGCGGAGGAACACCGAUGGCGAAGGCAAUCCCCUGGACCUGUACUGACGCUCAUGCACGAAAGCGUGGGGAGCAAACAGGAUUAGAUACCCCAGUAGUCC